GCCACAUGUUUCUCUUGUGGGGGCUGUGGGGACGGUAACUUCGACAGGAGCCAGGGGUCCAGGAGACAUGGUCAAACGCCUACUGUCCCAUGUGACAAACUGCAGUUUACAAGAACUGGAUGCCUGACACCAACCAGAAGAUGCAGGGGAAGCACAAUGAGGCAGGCAAGGACAGACAACAUCGCUGAGACUGCAUAGCACAAGCCAGCUUCAAGAGCCGAGUCUACGACUAAUUUGACUUUGUAAUUCUUCAUUAAGGAUUUCU
rnacentral:lncRNA from 1 species